UACAGAGGGUGCGAGCGUUAAUCGGAAUUACUGGGCGUAAAGCGCGCGUAGGCGGCUUUGCAAGUCGAGUGUGAAAUCCCCAGGCUCAACCUGGGAACUGCAUUCGAGACUGCAUAGCUAGAGUAUGGGAGAGGGAAGUGGAAUUUCAGGUGUAGCGGUGAAAUGCGUAGAUAUCUGAAGGAACAUCAGUGGCGAAAGCGACUUCCUGGACCAAUACUGACGCUCAUGUGCGAAAAGCGUGGGGAGCAAACAGG
rnacentral:rRNA from 1 species